AUUGAUCCCAGACUUUAUAAAAUGCCCUGUGCAAUCUGGGCAGAUAGGGAUUUGCAGGCAUUUCCAUUCUUUGCCUGACUCUAAUAUUCAUCACAAUAUAUUCUGUAAAAAUUGCUGGUACUGGAUGUCCUCUUUAGAUGUUGUGCAGAGGAAACAGUUUCCCAGAAGGUUCUAGCUUUCCCUUGGAGUGACAGGGAUGUUGCACAAUAUUGCAAAGUGGCUAAAUUGCCAAAACUGCUUCCACCAUGUAUUUGUUCCAUUUUGUCUUGUGCCAGCAGCUGUGCUCAUUCUCUAAAGUACCCUGUAGCCAGGCAGUGUCGCUCAGAGGUGCCUGGUGUUGUUGCCUGAAGCCCUGUUCCAUUCCAUGGCCUGUGCUUUCCACUUAUUUUUACCAGAGGGAGUUCCCACUGUACAGAUUGUGACUGAUUGCCAUCAGCUGGUGCUGAAGUUGAAGUGAGCACAUCUCAGCAGUUCACUCUGUGGCAGCGAGGGCAGCCCAGAGAACAGGUUUGCCUUGGCUUACGUUCCCACGUCCAACUCCACUGGCCUCCACGGAUCUGUGUCAAUAGGGCGAGAUCUCCUCACGUGCUUCGCUCACUGAUGCAAUGCUGCAAU